rnacentral:ncRNA from 1 species
UUUUGAUCCUUCGAUGUCGGCUCUUCCUAUCAUUGAGACGCAGAAGUCUCAAAGUGUCGGAUUGUUCACCCGCCAAUAGGGAACGUGAGCUGGGUUUAGACCGUCGUGAGACAGGUUAGUUUUACCCUACACUAAUGAGUAGAUUUUAAAUCUCUUUACGAGUAUCAAUUGGAGGGCAAGUCUGGUGCCAGCAGCCGCGGUAAUUCCAGCUCCAAUAGCGUAUAUUAAAGUUGUUGCGGUUAAAAAGCUCGUAGUUGGAUUUCUGCCUUGGGCGACCGAUCCACCUUUCCUACGGGAUUGGUUGGUAUCAGGUUUGACCUUGGCUUUUUCUUGGGAUUCGUGCUCACGUACUUAACUGUGCGUUGACCGUGUUCCAAGACUUUUACUUUGAGGAAAUUAGAGUGUUUCAAGCAGGCUUAUGCCAUGAAUACAUUAGCAUGGAAUAAUAGGAUAUGACUUCGGUCAUAUUUUGUUGGUUUCUAGGACUGAAGUAAUGAUUAAUAGGGACAGUCGGGGGCAUUCGUAUUUAACUGUCAGAGGUGAAAUUCUUGGAUUUGUUAAAGACGAACUACUGCGAAAGCAUUUGCCAAGGAUGUUUUCAUUGAUCAAGAACGAAAGUUAGGGGAUCGAAGACGAUCAGAUACCGUCCUAGUCUUAACCAUAAACUAUGCCGACUAGGGAUUGGGGGUCGUUAAUUUUAGACGCCCUCAGCACCUCGUGAGAAAUCAAAGUCUUUGGGUUCCGGGGGGAGUAUGGUCGCAAGGCUGAAACUUAAAGGAAUUGACGGAAGGGCACCACCAGGAGUGGAGCCUGCGGCUUAAUUUGAUUCAACACGGGAAAACUCACCAGGUCCAGACAUAGGAAGGAUUGACAGAUUGAUAGCUCUUCUGAUCUAUGGGUGGUGGUGCA